AAUAAUAACAAACUUAAACUGCUAAACCAAAAAUAUCUCCACUCUGGGUGCCUCGCCACUCUACCUCACACAAACUACUCUCAGUGCUUCAUUCCCUUUGAGAACCGCACACCCUUUUUCUUCUUCUUCUUCUCCAUCAUUCCAUCUUUUUCAUCGCUCAAAUCUCUUCUAAGUUUUCAUCUCAAUGUUAAUCGCAAUCUGAAUCCUUUUCUCGGACAAGUUAGAGCUGAUUUUGAUUGAAAUCUAAAUCGCGCUCUAGUCAUCAGAUCUGGAGCAGGGGUUUAGUGUUGAGAGUGGUGGUGUUUUGCUUUCGUCUUCAUAUUUGUCUCUGCAGACGAUGUUGUUGUGCUCACCAAAGAUAACUUUGAGAAGGAGGUUGGUCAGGACAGAGGAGCACUUGUUGAGUUCUACGCUCUUUAGUAAUAAAAUAAAAUAAUCACCAAUCUAUUUUUGGUUCCUUUGUUGAAUCAAUUUUACCUUAUCUAGGGUUUAGUUCAGUAUACAAUUCGAAUAGAAUGUGUUAUUGUCCUUUAUCUCUUUGAUUUUGUAGAUUAAUAGAUGUUUAACUUUAUAUUUUUUUAUUUGAUUCCUUUAAUAUAAGUUAUUAGAUGAUAAGAUCUCUGUAUAAUUGACACGAGAGAGUGAGGGUACCGAUACCUUUUUUGUGCCAAUCGAAGGUUCUAAGUUCAUAUAUAUAUAUAUAUAAAAUUGCCAGGUUUUCACUCUGUCGGGUGAUUCAUCAUGGCGAUCCAGCAAAGAUAAGAUGCACAUUUUGUUUCUAAUUCUCGAUCUAUGUUUCUCGUACCACUUUUUUGUUACCAUAGGUGUGGCCACUGUAAAAAGCUUGCCCCUAAUAUGAAAAGCUCAGUUCCAGCUUCAAGAAAGUCAAAUCUGUUUUAAUUGGCAAGGGUUGUGGGUGGGACGUUUGACCAGUCAAUAUGUCAUUAGCAAUCUCUGCUAUAUCUAUAGGGCAGCAGGGAAACAAGAGAGCAUGAAGUUUACUGCAGGAUCAUGCUUAGUGCGCUUAGUUCGGUUUAAUUAAUGUCUCAUAAAAUGAUUGCUUGAUCAACUUGACAAUAUUUAUUGAGGACAACCAGUCUGGUUUGGAGAUCACAAAAGUUCAUAAGAUUAUGCUGUAUGGUUCAACCAGACAAAAAGAAGUCGUUGAAUGGCGAGAGGACUAAUACUAAAGCUCCCGGAGCAAGGAAUGGAAAAGUUUCAGGUAAAGUAGUAAAGGAUAGGCCAGUAAAUGGACUUAAUUGAAGGAGCAAAUCAGAUAUCAGCUCGAAAACCAAAGCAUCCCCUGGAAGCAGAAUGACAGCUACUAAAAGCAAAUCUGCAGAGGAAGAAGAAAGUAGAAAGUGAAAGGAGGAGCUACUAAUUCCUUGUCAUUGGUGUCAAGGUGAAAAAUAUUGACAAGCUAUCAAUUCCUUGAAGAGCAGCCAAAGUAUUUAUGUAUUCUUGGAUUGGUGUGACACUCCUCAAAUCUUGAGUGCAGAUCACAACAUUUAACAUCUCAUUAGUUGUCCAUGAAACCAUUGCGAAAAAUGAUGAUUUUCAGAAGGAAGAAUCCAACCCAUAUGUUGUUUCCAUUAGCAUGGGCAUCUUCAGAGUCUUAGUUAGUCCUUUAGGGAUAACAACCAUUACAAUAAUUAGAAGGAUUGUAUCAAAUUAUGAGGCAUUCCAGAAAUGGAAUGAAAAGAAGGGGGAGAGUAAGAAGAGAUACUACGACAGUAAGACUCGUGUCCAUGGAGACUGAAUGAUUUCUAUUGUUCUCAGCAUUAGACAUGGCAGCUUAGUAAAUUUUUAGGCCUUAUUUUAUUCUUUCUCUAUUAGUAAAAUGAAAUGAUAGCUCUGUACAAUUGUUCAGUUUGGACCAUAAUUGGACAUUGCGGUCUCUGCAUAUGAUUAAUCAUUUGCUAAACUGAUUUAGCCAGUGAUAUGUUUGUAGUUAACCAUGAAUAUUAUUUCCGAAUAAAUUCAUGGUUAAGUAAACCAUGGCUGAAUUAGUUUGGAAAAACGAUCCGACUUUAUGAUUCAAGCUGAGCAAAGCUAUCAUUUUCACUUUAUUUUGGUUUUUGGUAUCUUAUCUAGAUUUAUCCCUUAGCUUUUUUAAUAACAUGUUACAUUUGUAUUAUUGCUGUAUGUGAAUUUUAUGAGGAUUGAUCGUCUUUGGUCGAA